UGGGGAAUUUUCCGCAAUGGGGGCAACCCUGACGGAGCAACGCCGCGUGGGGGAGGAAGGUCUGUGGAUUGUAAACCCCUUUUCUCAGGGAAGAAGCUCUGACGGUACCUGAGGAAUCAGCAUCGGCUAACUCCGUGCCAGCAGCCGCGGUAAGACGGAGGAUGCAAGCGUUAUCCGGAAUUAUUGGGCGUAAAGCGUCCGUAGGUGGUUGUUCAAGUCUGCUGUCAAAGCGUGGGGCUCAACUCCAUAGAGGCAGUGGAAACUGUGUAACUAGAGUGCGGUAGGGGUCGAGGGAAUUCCCAGUGUAGCGGUGAAAUGCGUAGAUAUUGGGAAGAACACCAGUGGCGAAAGCGCUCGACUGGGCCUGCACUGACACUGAGGGACGAAAGCUAGGGGAGCGAAAGGGAUUAGAUACCCCCGUAGUCC
rnacentral:rRNA from 1 species